rnacentral:rRNA from 1 species
UACGUAGGUGGCAAGCGUUGUCCGGAAUUAUUGGGCGUAAAGAGCUUGUAGGCGGUUUGUCGCGUCUGCCGUGAAAAUCCGAGGCUCAACCUCGGACUUGCGGUGGGUACGGGCAGACUAGAGUGUGGUAGGGGAGACUGGAAUUCCUGGUGUAGCGGUGAAAUGCGCAGAUAUCAAGAGGAACACCGAUGGCGAAGGCAGAUCUCUGGCCUUGCCUGACGCUGAGGCGCGAAAGCUAGGGGAGCGAACAGG